rnacentral:rRNA from 1 species
GAUCAUGGCUCAGGAUGAACGCUAGCUACAGGCCUAACACAUGCAAGUCGAGGGGCAGCAUGGUCUUAGCUUGCUAAGGCUGAUGGCGACCGGCGCACGGGUGAGUAACACGUAUCCAACCUGCCGUCUACUCUUGGCCAGCCUUCUGAAAGGAAGAUUAAUCCAGGAUGGGAGUCAUGAGUUCACAUGUCCGCAUGAUUAAAGGUAUUUUCCGGUAGACGAUGGGGAG